rnacentral:rRNA from 1 species
UACGGGGGGGGCAAGCGUUGUUCGGAAUUACUGGGCGUAAAGGGUUUGUAGGUGGCCCGCUAAGUCACACGUGAAAUCCCUCAGCUUAACUGGGGAACUGCGUGUGAGACUGGCAGGCUCGAGGGCAGGAGAGGAACGCGGAAUUCCAGGUGUAGCGGUGAAAUGCAUAGAUAUGUCACAGAACACCAAUUGCGAAGGCAGCUUACUAUGGUUUUAUUGACACUGGGGCACGAAAGCGUGGGGAUCAAACAGG